rnacentral:rRNA from 1 species
CUGCCAGUGAUAAACUGGAGGAAGGUGGGGAUGACGUCAAGUCAUCAUGGCCCUUACGACCAGGGCUACACACGUGCUACAAUGGCGCAUACAAAGAGAAGCGACCUCGCGAGAGCAAGCGGACCUCAUAAAGUGCGUCGUAGUCCGGAUUGGAGUCUGCAACUCGACUCCAUGAAGUCGGAAUCGCUAGUAAUCGUGGAUCAGAAUGCCACGGUGAAUACGUUCCCGGGCCUUGUACACACCGCCCGUCACACCAUGGGAGUGGGUUGCAAAAGAAGUAGGUAGCUUAACCUUCGGGAGGGCGCUUACCACUUUGUGAUUCAUGACUGGGGUGAAGUCGUAACA